rnacentral:lncRNA from 1 species
CUCGAUCAUUUAUUUGAGAUGUGGGCUAAGUACCAAUCAGGACAGAUAACAAGAUCAACAUUUGUUCACUCAUUAGGCUUCAAAUAUCAAGCUAAAACUGACCUGUAGUUGUGAUGACAGUACUUGAUUUAAUUUCUUAAGAAUGUUUACUUAUAGCUGUACAUAAACUGUUAAACAUAUAUCAACAAUGUGCUAUGACAUGAAGGUGCU